UACGAAGGGGGCUAGCGUUGCUCGGAAUUACUGGGCGUAAAGGGCGCGUAGGCGGAUAGUUUAGUCAGAGGUGAAAGCCCCCGGGCUCAACCCGGGAAGUGCACUCGAUACUGCCGAGCUAGAGUAUCGGAGAGGUUGGUGGAAUUCUCGGUGUAGAGGUGAAAUUCGUAGAUAUCGAGAGGAACACCGGUGGCGAAGGCGGCCAACUGGACGAAUACUGACGCUGAGACUCGAAAGCGUGGGAGCAAACAGG
rnacentral:rRNA from 1 species